AGCGGCUAUUAUUCCCACCCCUCGCGCUGGCUUUUCUCCAAAAGAAAAAACAACCGGAAAUACAGGAACCGUGCGUACCUUCUCUUUCCCCGUCUGUAUCCAUCCCCUGUGAAGUGAGCUCAAGCUGGAACAAGAACUCAAGCGGCAGAAGCUGAGCGGAGACCUCUGGCCGUGCCGCCGUGCUCCCGUUCCUCCGGCUUCCGGUCUCCAGCCGCAAACCCUCGAUGGAUCUCGGCCGCUCCGCAGCCUCAGGGUCAGGGAUGUGGUGCCUCGACCUGGAUGAGCGCGACGGCGCCCCUACUCCUCACACGCCGGCCUGUUGCUCCCUUGCGAAUUAGACUGGCGGUAGCCCGGAUGUUCUCGACGGAAGACAGCGCGUGAAGCUGGAGCAGGCGCCUAGCGGGGUAACCGCUGGUCUCACUCCCCACGGCGGCGAGGUGGAGGAGAUGCCGCGGCGGCUAGGCGCAGCGUCGGAAGGCGGCCAGGCCCGCCGCAGCGAGGCGGCCAGGCUCCCCGCAGCGAGGCGGCCAGGCCCCUGACUCAGGAGGACCUCGUCGCUUACCUCGUCUGUUCAAGCUCAAGGAGAAACAGAGGUGUUUCUAGAAUUUUUGCAAAGUGUUCCUGUACAUCUAGGCCGAUGGCAUGCCUGAUGAAGCAAAACGAACGGAGGGGGUGGCAGGAUUGGAAGAAUUCCCACAAUCGGUUCAAAGAAAAUUGCGAAUUUCGACUAUGAUUCAUCGUGAAGAAUCAGUUCGAUGUCUUACCGUGCGUGAGUGAGAUCCAUGUUCUUCAUUAUCCCCUUGAUUACUUGAAGAAGCCAUUAGCGACUUGUGUUGGUUGUUGCAGUGUUCAAUUGAUUCCUUCGCUGUUCAAUUUUGGAGGAUAUUUUUCAUGUGCGGAUCACUGUGUUUCAACCUUUCCUGUUUAUUUACAGUAGCGUCAAUUCAGAA